CACCCCUCAGUUUGAACCGCCGCGUGAGCGUCAGCGCGGAAGAGUUCAGACGUCUACGUUGGUUUCUGCACGUAAGUUACGUUUAUAUGUUACGUUUCUUAAACAGAGUUGAGAAAUUUAAUUUUUUGUCGGAUAGUGUGAUAGUUAUGGCGAAGUUUUAUCUGACUAAAGUGUUUCUGGGCGGCCUACACAUAGGAAACAUUGUUAUUCAACAAACGAAUGCUGACAUGUGUUCUGGUUACCUGACAGAAAUAAGACGGGGUUUUAAAAAUAGACAGUUUGUGUGAUGGAACAGCGAACCUGCUGGGAUUGAUGGCCCCCCUUAGAAGAAGAAGCUAGUUUGAUUUGCUGGCAAACUCGACCUUCCUGGUUUCCAUGACAACGGGGUAACGCAACCCAUCCAUGACUGUUGGCCAGCCUGGGGGGAUGUUGUGUUGAUUAUUCUCAGACAGGACAUGGCUGACCGAGACCACGACGGGACCCGGAAGGACACAGAAGAGCUGCUCUACUCUGAUCUAAGUAACACCAGGAGCCUUUUUCUACCAGGACGUCCACCAGUCAAACCAGCCCCCUCUGUCCUCCGUGGCAUUGAUGCUUGUGUAGCUCAGCUGCAGCUCCAGAAACCAAAGGGAUUUCCUAAAGCGUCCGACUGUAGCGAUUUGGCUUCUCUGAGGUGGAAUUCAUUUCUGAGCAAAGAUACGGGUCUCGGAAGUACAAGUCAGAUAAAUGACACUCCCUUGUCUUUUCUUGAUUUGAUGCCUACGCCAAAGAGAGACAAUACAUCAGAUGAUCCUGUAACUGAAGGACCUGAAAAGACGUCAGACACAGGGACAAGACACCAGGAGGAGCGCGAGAGUCAGAGGGAGCAGAUCGUCUGGAGGCUCAAGAGGCUGCUUGGAGAUGCGUGUGAUGGUGCACAAAUAACCGUAGAAUCCCAGCCGCCCUCAGAAAGCAUCUGCACCGAGGACUUUCUCGGACGGUUCCGGGAUGAGAUGGUUGAUGUAACAUUGCUGGAGGAUAAACUGCAGCAACAAAAGACUGACCAAGAGCGGCAUAAAGAAAAGAGGCAGAAUCUCCUCAGUGUUGGUGGAAAAGGAGCAACGGCAUCUGGGAAAAGCACUAGAACUGAAGAGGAUCCUCAGUAUUGCCAGAAGGAUCAUGUGUGCUGCAACACCGAAGCCGUAAUGGGAAAUGAAAGCCUGCAGCAGAACAAGCUCUCUUCAAAGAUCAAGACUUUAGCAGGAGUACCUAUGCAGAGUUUUGACUCUGUGUCCAUUGACAGUGAGUUGGACUCAGUUUGCACAGUGCAAGUCAGGCAGUAUAUCAACGGGCAGUCCGGGUGGCGCUCUCUCCUUGAGUCUGAUCAGGUCAGGGAUCAUUACCUGAACCAGAACCACUGUGAUACAAUCAAUCAGGAUGAAAAUGAGGCUCACACCCUGUCAGGUUGGGGAUCUUUUGGAAACGGACGGAUCAGAGGUCAGUGCAGCAAGAGAGAAACCUGCAGGCCUGACAAGACAGUGGAAAAGAUGCAGUCUGAUUGGUUCAAGAUGAAAAAUAACCUUGUGGCGCUCCAGCAAAAGUGCAAGAAAGAAGAGGAGACGCUGAAGUCCAAAAAGAUUCAGAUAAAACAUGCUGAGCUCUCCCUCUCUGAACUUCAAAAGAGAAGAAAGCAUGGUUUGCAAGAAUUAGCACGACUGGCUGCAGAGAAAGCUGUGAUGGGGAAGGAGAAAAACUCUCUGGAGUUUGUUCUGAAAGAGAGCAGAUGCCGGCAGCACGAGCUGCAGAGGCAGGGGGAAUCGUCUAUUUCGGAGCACAGUGUGGUCAUGUCAGUGCUGGAGAGGGAGGAGAUGGACAGACAGCUGGACUGUGCCAAAACAGAUCUUUUUGCCGAGCAGCGUCGUUCCAGAGAGAAGCUCGAGUCCAUGCAAGACAAGCUGGAGGAGACCUGUGAGCACCUUCAGAUUGUCACAGACUCUGAGGGUUUGCUGAGGACCAGGUGUGCCUGUUUGGAGGAGAAACAAAAGCAGGACAAGGAAAAGAUUGAGGCAGCAGAGAUUCUUGUAAACAAGCUGCAGGGUGAACUGGGAGAAUGCACCAUGAAGAAGGACACUCUGGAGAGGACACUGGCCCAGAAGGAGCUGCAGCUCUUAGAGUUCCAGGAGCAGCAACGAGCUCUGCACGCAGAAAGAGACGGCCUGAGGGGGGCGCUACAACUGCUGAAAAGUCAGCACAGCUGUGUAGUGAAAGAUGCACAGGAGCAAACCCAGAGAAUGGUGCAAAAAGAAGAAGAGACAACAAAGCUCAGAGAUUCUCUGGAGCAGCAGAAACAGGAGGCAAAGAGACGUGAAGCGGAGCUGCUGGCAGGAGCCUCCGAACAUGUGAAGGAGGCAAUAGAGGAGGAGCGGAGGACGUGCGAGGCGGAAAAAGUGGAAGCUGUGCAGUUGCAUUGUGGGAUACUGGAAGAAGAGUUCAGAAAAAGACUGGGAAACAUGAGAAGUGAGAUUCAGCGCGAGAGGAGUGGAGCACUCGCCCUGCAACAGGAAGUGGCGGAGUUGAAAACAAGAGUGCAGGAGAUGAAGCGCGACAGCUGUGCUCGGCAGAGGGAGCAGGAGUCCUUGCUGGCGGCCGUUUGCCAAACACUGAAAGAGGAGCACGAGGCCAAGUACCAGAGGUUGCAGAAAGACGUGACUCAGGAAACACAGAAGGUGGUGCUGCAGCUGGAAGUGGCACAGAAAGAGACAGAGUGCCUCCGGAGGAUGCUAGAAGAACAAGAGAGCAGCUGCAACCAAAUUAACGCUGGGCUGGAGCAGCAGAUCCAGCAGUGGGCCCGGGAUCUGCAGGCAGAGUACCAGAACCUGCAUGCCUUAUUGGAUCGGGGUGCAGAGGAACGCAGCUCUGUGCAGCUGCCUGUCGGUUCUACAGUACCGGAAGCACUUGCAAACCUGAGAAUAGUCAGAGAGGAGCUGAAGAACGUGCUGGGUCAUCUGCAGCGUCAGCUUGAGUCUCAGAAACAAGCCUCAGAGUGUCUGAGAAUACGGAUGGAACAAGAAGUGAGGCUCCAGGUGAAGCAUCUGAGGACAGAGAGAGACCGGGCCUUGAAGUCUGUGAAGGAGCGCCUCAUCCAGGAGCACAUAGAGGAAUUAAGCAGCUUGAAAUGGGCUCAUUUAAGUGAUGGAGGAGCUGAAGGAGGAGCAGCAGCCUCUCUUCGCAAACAGCUGCAGGCCAAAGACAUGGAGCUCCGGCAGGUCCAGAGGAGAAUGGCUCAGUGGAAGGCUCAGACUGCAGCUCGCCUGGCGUUCAGGUUUGAGGAGGAGCUGACGGCUGAGUUGGAGAGGUGCAAGACAAAGUUGUUAAGAGGCAGAAAAACAUCAGAACCUGAUGAGAAGAUGAUGUCUGGACAGGAUAAAGACCAGAUGGCCACAGUUUGCUCCUCCGCUCCUCCUCUCACUGCGUCCUCCUGCUCCUCCGAUGUGGCUUCACUCAAGCUCCUGCGUUACCUCCAGGACAAAGUCAAGCAGCUACGUGUAGAAAACCAGGCCUUCGGCUGGAGCUCGUCAUCUGCAACCGCAGUCUCCUCCCAUUUAUCAGGAGCUGAUCCUGCAACAGCGAGUGACCAAAGGACGAGGACCCGCUGGGAUUCACAGCCCCGAUCAAUCAGGACAGCCCCAAGUUAA
ensembl:lncRNA